rnacentral:tRNA from 1 species
GAAGUAUGUUGUUCUAUAAAAAGCUGCUAACUUUUAUAUAUAAUAGUUAAAUUCUAUUUAUACUUCU